rnacentral:tRNA from 2 species
GCGCUCGUGGCGGAAUCGGCAGACGCGCUAGAUUCAGGUUCUAGUCCCGCAAGGGGUGUGGGUUCAAAUCCCUCCGAGCGCACCA